CGCAGCAACAAAGACCCAACACAGCCAAAAAUAAUAUAAAUAAAUAAAUAAAAUAAAGGAAACUUAGAUUUUAAAAUAAUAAAAUAAAAAUGGACAAGGAAAGCAGAACGAGUGGCUCAGAGAGAAGUAAGGAUGGGAGAAGGGGCAGGAGAGAUUUGAAGAGGGAUACUCCCCCCACUAUUGCUGGCGUCGAAGAUGGAGGAACGGAACCACGACCCAAACAAUGCAGGCAGCUUCCAGAAGCUGGGAAGGACCCUCAGCUGACAGCCAUCAAGGAAAUGGGGACCUGAAAGGAACUAAAUUCUACCAACAGCCUGAGAUAGUGAGGAGAUGGAUUCUCGCCUAAGAGCUCCCAGGACGGACACAGCCGACCCCGUGAUUUUAGUCCAGUUAGAUCUGAACCCGGCUUCCGACAUACAGAACCGUAAGGUAUCUAUCCUCCAGAAAUAAAUGUAUCUAAAUUCUAAGGAUAUACAUACAGGGAUGUUUUCUGCUUUGGAAGACCUGAAAAUAACCAUCCGUAACACGUAAAUGCUGUCCUGCAAAGAGGCCUGAGAAAGGAAGCAGAGAAGCAAGUUGUUUACCUAUUGAAAUAAACUAGAGGAUCCAGGUUGGUGAUGAGUCAGACCUGAAGUUGUUUUAUAGAGACAGCACUGUGCAUGUGCAAGAUGGGAACCCAUGUCUCCAGGAUGAGCCCAGAACCAAAUAUCUUCAGUCUGUGGAACUCAAAGAAUAGAAUUGUUGCCACCAGAGGGCUUUAAGAAGGGAGAGGUCCUAAAAUAAGGAAAAUCUGGCUUCCAGCAGCCUAAGUACCUUGGUUAUCAUAUAUGUACUGAUUUGAGGCUAUCCAAUCAACUUCUGCCAAGUUUGAAAUUCCCCUAACCCCCUAACCUGGGAUCAAGGAGACAGAUUUGAGCCCUGCCUUCUAUCUGCUUGCUGGUCAACCUCACAAUAAAGCUCUUUUUGUUUUUCAAAAGCCGGUGCCAUAGAAUUGACUUCUAUGCAUGUCUGGCAGCAAGCCCUUGCUUGGUAACACUACUGUCAAUUUCUAGAAUUAGCUCCCCUUUUGGGGAGGAAGAAAUUCCAGACAAUAUUUCUUUAAGA